rnacentral:rRNA from 1 species
GUCUACGGCCAUACCACCCUCAACACGCCUGACCUUGUCUGAUCUCAGGAGCUAAGCAGGGUCAGGCCUGGUUAGUGCUUGGAUGGGAGACCACCUAAGAAGACCAGGUGUUAUAGGCA